ACCAACCACAUGUGUAUCAGCUGAAGGGGCCCCUGCCUUCUUCUUCCUCCUCCUCAGCAGGUAAGAAGAGCCUUGUCCACAGGAACGCUUCAGGCAGGAUCGUACUUGCGCUGUCUGAAACAUGUUGCAGUGCUCUAUCUCCAGGUUGUUUGGAGUUUUGCUGCUGCUGCAGUUAAGUGGGUGAACAUCUGCCGUCCAACUGACACAGCACGAAACCAUAUCUGUCAGGAGCAGGACAUGCUGUGCUGCGAUGAAGAGAAGUUUGUGUACAGUGAAGUCUGAAGGCUUCCAUUUGCGCCUCUCCAUCCUGUUAACGAACAGUUGAGCACGCAGUAAGAACGGACUCACCCAAACCAAGUUGCACACAAGCGCCUGGCAAGACAACUGGCUUCUUCUGUUCUUGGAUGUACAUGGGAUGAAUUACACUUUCUGUUAUUCUUAAGUAACUGUGUUGACUUCUCUCUUAGUGGAACGGCUAUGACACAGCUUUUGGAGGGUUUGUAUUUUAGUUCUAGCAACUGCUGCUGAUCU